GCCGAAGUAGCUCAGCUGGUAGAGCAAUGCUUUCGUAAAGCAGAGGUCGUGAGUUCGAUCCUCACCUUCGGCUCCA
rnacentral:tRNA from 1 species